CAGCAGCCGCGGUAACACAGAGGGUGCGAGCGUUAAUCGGAUUUACUGGGCGUAAAGCGUGCGUAGGCGGCUUCUUAAGUCGGAUGUGAAAUCCCUGAGCUUAACUUAGGAAUUGCAUUCGAUACUGGGAAGCUAGAGUAUGGGAGAGGAUGGUAGAAUUCCAGGUGUAGCGGUGAAAUGCGUAGAGAUCUGGAGGAAUACCGAUGGCGAAGGCAGCCAUCUGGCCUAAUACUGACGCUGAGGUACGAAAGCAUGGGGAGCAAACAGGAUUAGAUACCCGCGUAGUCCCUGUCUCUUAUAC
rnacentral:rRNA from 1 species